AGCGGCCAGAGCAGCGGGGCCACACCCGGACCCAUUCCGAACCCGGAAGUUAAGCCCGCUUACGUAUCGUGCGGUACUGAGAUACGCGAGUUCUCGGGAACCACGAAAAGCUGCUAUUA
rnacentral:rRNA from 1 species